rnacentral:lncRNA from 1 species
UAUAAGAGUUAUUGGGAUCUCCUCAUACGACAACCCCACAUCCACUUGCACAACUUGACCUUGAUGACGUGUCAGGUCAUGCACGUGCUUGGAAGUAAAGACACGUCAAACACCGGAUGAACCUUUACUAACUUUGUGGCAGGGCAAGCCUAUAGGCCAUAAUACCCGCCUGUUGUAAUAUCUCAUUGACUAAUAUAACCUAGACUCAAUUUGCCUUUCUUCUCGAACCUCAUCGCGUAUUUCAUCGUAACGUAAG